AAACGAUAGGCUUUUAUUAGCUGCAAGGGUGACCACAACAUCUCGGAGACUGAGGGAGGAGCAGUGCCUCCAAUCGCCUUUAUACCGGGGUCCGUGCGAGGAGCCACAGGAGCAGUCAGCAGAGGGGCGUGUCCAGACAGCAUAUUCAGUGAUGCCAGCUGUCAAGUUAGUGGCAGCACCAGCUCCACCUAUACUCGCUCCCACAGCGGUGAGGACCAAGGAGAUGCCUGCUGUGAAAGGAGCAGCGAUUAUUCCUGCCAGGGUUAGGACACCACCUACAGCCCCCGCAGAUGACCCGGAACUGAACCACAGCAAAGUGUAAGAAUUCAAAAGGAGGAUGGACCGGUCAUGCAAAAGUGAAACGAUGGAGUUCAGAGCCAAACGCGAGGAAAUCUGCAGAUGCUGGAAAUUCAAGCAACACACACAAAAUGCUGGUGGAGCACAGCAGGCCAGGCAGCAUCUAUAGGAAGAAGUGCAGUCGACGUUUCGGGCCGAGACCCUUCGUCAGGACCAGUGUGUUCCCGUCAGGGUGAUAGGUGAACAUUGUAAGGAGCAAAUACUGAGACGGACUUUGUGACAAUGUUUGGUGCUGUUGCAGGUCGGUGACCCAUAUUUUUGUUUGGCAAUGAUUGCAUUUGUAGAUUGUCUGUGACUGAGGGAUCUACCAAUAUCACAGGUCUGAAGUUGGGAUAAUAGCAGGAACCUUACUGAGCUCCCACUGGGAGUUGGAGGAAAAGAUGCAGUUGGUGUUCAAGAGGCAGAGAAUGCAUCAGUCCAGGCUCCCUCAAUCAUUCCAUCUCUCCUGAAUUCUUACCAUUGAGAAAUCUUGUCUUUGGCAAUUAAUCUAAAAAUUUAUUGAUCAUCCUAGUGUUUCCUUUCACUUAAUCCCAACUGUGCCCUUGUGAAUGAUAACAGCUCUAUGAAUAUUGAUAAUCAUGUUGUUUUACUGAUUACCCUUGUUAUUCGUUUAUUGAUCACCUCAUGGUGAUUAUCAGCUAUGGACGAUGACUGGUAAUUGACCAAUAAGACUGAAUUGGAUGUCAGUUGUUCAGAUUUUCACUGUCCUCUAACAAGGUGCAAUCUUAGUUACCUGGAUCC